rnacentral:rRNA from 1 species
UACGUAGGGGGCGAGCGUUGUCCGGAUUUAUUGGGCGUAAAGAGCGUGUAGGCGGCUAGGUAGGUCUGCUGUGAAAACUCGAGGCUCAACCUCGAGACGUCGGCGGAAACCAUCUGGCUAGAGUCCGGAAGAGGAGAGUGGAAUUCCUGGUGUAGCGGUGAAAUGCGCAGAUAUCGUAAGGAAGACCAGUGGCGAAGGCGGGUCUCUGGACAGUUCCUGACGCUGAGGCACGAAGGCCAGGGGAGCAAACGGG